AUCUAAACUGUGUAAAUUAAACAGAAUCUUACGUUUUUAGUUAAAAUAAGACACUCUCACGGCUCUGCUUAUUUAGAGCUGUUAGACAGCAGACUCCAAGCAUUUGCCUCAAACAAUCCUAACAAUUGAAAUUGGACAAGGACGUGGACAAAAUUGGACAUGUACCAUGAGCAACUUUGUCGUCGCUUCUAUUAAACUAAACGUAGUGUACCAAGCCAAACGGAUAGCUGUUAGCUUGUUACAGAAUAGAUAUUCGACGAUUUUACAACGAAGCCGACGGAUCCAAUGUAGAUGCCGGUGCAAUCAGAUCCGUAUGAAAUCAAAAGUGCACAGGUGACUAACCUCUCCUGUUGGCCACAUUAGUAGCAACUAAGACAAUUGGGCACUUCAUUAAUAUAAGAAAAUAAAGUGGUAAUUUUUAUACA